rnacentral:tRNA from 1 species
GACUUAAAAAAUCCGUCGACUUUAGAAAUCGUGAGGGUUCAAGUCCCUC